rnacentral:ncRNA from 1 species
GCUUGCAUUUUCCUUACACGGGUAUUUCGUUGUUGUUACCACCAUGGUAGAAAUCUAUUUGCUGCAAGACAUAAAAGCUAGACUGGUUUUCUCAGCUAAUACGGUGUAUUGGGUUCGGAACGUUUACUUAAAAAAAUAAGAUAUUCAAAGCAGGCUCUCGAGCCUGGAUAAUGGUGUAUGGAAUAAUGGAAUAGGACCUCGGUUCUAUUUUGUAGAUUUUCGGAGCGCGAGGUAAUGAUUAAUAGGGACAGACGGGGGCAUUCGUACUGUGCCGUUAGAGAUGAAAUUCUUGGAUCGGCGCAAAACGACAACUGCAAAAGCAUUUGCUAAGAAUGUUUUCUUUAAUCAAGAGC